rnacentral:rRNA from 1 species
AUUAUUGGACAAUGGGCGAAAGCCUGAUCCAGCCAUGCCGCGUGUGUGAAGAAGUCCUUCGGAUUUUAAAGUUCUUUAUGUUGGGAGGAAUUGGUUGAAGCUAAUACCUUCAAUCUUUGACGUUACGAACAUAAUAUGCACCGGCUACUCCUGUGCCAGCAGCCGCGGUAAUACAGCGGGUGCCAGCGUUAAUCGGAAUUACUGGGCGUAAAGCGCGAGUAGGUGGUUCAGUAAGAUGGAAGUGAAAGCCCCGGGCUCAACCUGGGAACUGCUUUCAAAACUGGCAAGCUAGAGUAUGGCAGAGGGUGGUGGAAUUUCCUGUGUAGCGGUGAAAUGCGUAGAUAUAGGAAGGAACAUCAGUGGCGAAGGCGACUACCUGGACUGAUACUGACACUGAGGUGCGAAAGCGUGGGGAGCAAACAGG